AUGUACUCCAGCAGAGGAUCAAAUGAUCAGAGAGAGGAGAUGAACCUGGGCACCAGCCAAACCCAGCAGCAGCUCCUGGACGUGGGAGAGGAGGAGCGCCUGCGCUUGGAUGCAGUGGUCGGAGGUGGGUACGGAGGUGGAGAUGGCGGAACAGCCUGUGCUCGCCUCCACCUGGGCGCGGGUCAGGAGGAGCCCCUGUGUGUGGGCGGCAGCAGACCACCAGCUCUACUCCAGCGGCGGCAGCGCCUGGGCAGGGGGCGGAGGUGGAGAUGGAGGGCGGAGGCGGAGGUGGAAGACGAUCGAUCCGGAUUCAAAUUUUGA
rnacentral:rRNA from 1 species